rnacentral:rRNA from 1 species
CCUACGGGGGCUGCAGUGGGGUAUAUUGGACAAUGGGCGAAAGCCUGAUCCAGCCAUGCCGCGUGUGUGAAGAAGGCCUUCGGGUUGUAAAGCACUUUCAGUGGGGAAGAAAGCCUUGGGGCUAAUACCCUCGAGGAAGGACAUCACCCACAGAAGAAGCACCGGCUAACUCCGUGCCAGCAGCCGCGGUAAUACGGAGGGUGCGAGCGUUAAUCGGAAUUACUGGGCGUAAAGCGCGCGUAGGCGGUCUGAUAAGCCGGUUGUGAAAGCCCCGGGCUCAACCUGGGAACGGCAUCCGGAACUGUCAGGCUAGAGUGCAGGAGAGGAAGGUAGAAUUCCCGGUGUAGCGGUGAAAUGCGUAGAGAUCGGGAGGAAUACCAGUGGCGAAGGCGGCCUUCUGGACUGACACUGACGCUGAGGUGCGAAAGCGUGGGUAGCAAACAGGAUUAGAUACCCGAGUAGUC